CUCCAGUAACUUGUCUGGCAGCUGCCAGUCUUUGCUUAGGAUAUAGGAACAGGCUCGGGUUCCUUGGGAGCAAGAGGACCAGGAAGAUGUUCUGACCAUUUGGGAUGCAGACUUCCAAUUAGUAUCCUGUUUUCAACCCCAUGGCUUAUCCCUGCCCUCUGUCAUGCCAGUGACCUUGGUGUCCUGAGAGUUUCCUCUCUACCAUCUUCAGAGACUGAACCUCCUGCAGGAGGCUCACUGGUAAGGAACUUGUCUCUUGGAUUGGAGAAUGAAUUGCCUGGGGCCCAGCAUGCCACCUGAUGGAGAGCACCCACCAUGAUGAACAGGAAGACACAGAGCAGAGGAGUUUGCCCUUUGGAGACAGGCAUCCAGAGGCUGGUGCAAGGUCACCCAGGUCCUGUCCAGUCCCAGAGCGCUCCAUCCUUGCCACACAAGGAGCAAACAACACCCUUCACUUUUUGAUGUGAUUACUGAACUCUUGUCUCAAAGGUUAAUGCAGUUUGCAAACAUAUUUGGAUGAAGGUCUCAGGGUCAAAUCAUGACUUUUCAUGCCACCCCCUGCUGUCUGCGUUCUGUAAGCUGGGAAAGAUGAGAAGAACGGGCUGAGAGCCCCCUGUCCUCAUCCUGAGUGGGCAGCCCCGGGCUGAGGGGCCUUUAAGCUAAAGAACUGGGCCAGAUGGGUGUCCACAGUGCCAUGUGGGGAGGGAGACUCUCCAAGCCCUGUGGACAAAUUCUGGAAAAAACGGGUCACCCGGACCCGGAGCAGGCUUCAAAAUAAAAGCCUCCAAAUAGCGAUUGGCUGGAGGUGGGACAGGGCCGGGGGGAGCCGGGAGAGGGAAGCAAAUGGGGCCCAGGGAUGGGAAGGAGCUUUCUGCGGAAACAGCACUGCCGUACCAUUGCUAAAAUACUGCAAUGCUUCCAAACCACUGUGUUAAAAAGCAUGCUCCUUGGAGCCUGGCCCCCACCCCUUCUAUCUCCCUGGACCCCCCCAAACCUCUUCACAAUCUAUCAACUAAAGGAUUAAUGCCUGGUCCAUCAGGAGGCCUGCAGACCAGA